rnacentral:misc_RNA from 1 species
GAAAUGCGAUACGUAAUGUGAAUUGCAAAUUCAGUGAAUCAUCGAGUCUUUGAACGCACAUUGCGCCCCCUGGUAUUCCGGGGGGCAUGCCUGUCCGAGCGUCAUUUCUGCCCUCAAGCACGGCUUGUGUGUUGGGCCCCGUCCUCCGAUCCCGGGGGACGGGCCCGAAAGGCAGCGGCGGCACCGCGUCCGGUCCUCGAGCGUAUGGGGCUUUGUCACCCGCUCUGUAGGCCCGGCCGGCGCUUGCCGAUCAACCCAAAUUUUUAUCCAGGUUGACCUCGGAUCAGGUAGGGAUACCCGCUGAACUUAGGC